rnacentral:lncRNA from 1 species
ACCAGCCCUUAAUUUUUUAUUAAGAGACAUCUCUGUGUUUUUGUGAUAGGAUAUACAUACUGGUUUCCCAGAAGAUUUAACCAUUAGAUCUUCUUUUAGAAGGAAUUAUGAGAAGUUGGCAAAAACUUCAUUUGUUCUGGAAAUGAACUUUUCUGUAUGGCUUGUCUAUGUCUAUAGCACUGUAAAUAUUUUCAAGUCUUUUUAUAUCAUCUUAAUGUCAGGAAAUAGGAAAAGGUUUUACCAAGAGAAAAAUCCUAUCCAUGUAAAUGACUGGGUAAAGACUGUAGACAUCAGAGUUGUCUUCAAUUUCAAGAGCAUAACAUCUUGUUUCAAAAAACAAUCUUGCUUCAUCUCUUCUGCAUCACAGCCUUGAAGGAAGUAAAUUAUUUACCACAUUCACUCAAGUACUUUUGGGGAGAUCACCAAUGUGGUUGUUGAAACAUUGGUAGUAGAUAUUAACAUUUGCUCUGUGUGUGACAAAUCCAUUCAGAGAGAUUGUUUGGCUGUUCCCGUCUUCCUUCUCUGGCUCCUGUUGAUCUUGGAAUAUGCUUUCACCUGGUGAUAGGUAGCUUUCUGCAGCGAUGUAUAGAAAGGGAUUCCUAUCAUCUAAGUGCAUCACUGUUUAUACAAAUAUCAGGCUGUGCUUGAUCACGCUUUUCAAGGAAGGCUGCUUGUUGGGAGCAGUUUUGCCUUGUAUUAUUAUUCAUAUUUCCACAAAUUACUUUGAAAUGUUGUUUUGAGAAAUUAUAUCUACUCCAUCUUGGGACUGUCCUCCAUCUUAAAGAAAAGAAAAAAAAAGCCUGAGAACUUGACCUGCAGGAGUACCCAAGCCCCACCCCUGUACCAGCAAGGACCACCCCCCCUAUUUAUUCUUGGCCAGAGUUCCUCCCUAGCUACUUCCAAGCAACAGUUAAUCAAAGAUAGUCUGUUUCAGGUGUACUUUCAGACUUGUGGUGAUUGUAUAUGAUCUUGCCUUAGAGCACCCACAUGUUGGCUUACAAUAGUUAUUCUAAUAGAUAUUUGUCAGACUGGACUUCCUCCCUCACCCCCUCACUGGGUUCUAUUGUCCUAUAAAAUCUUGUCCUGCUGAGAUUUGGGGCUCAUCCACCUUUCCUUCCUGUCCUACUGAGUCAGAGUUGGGUUGGAGGAGAGCCCAAGCCUGAGCUUGUAAUUAAGCCACCCUUAUUCUAUUACAUCAGGAAUGGCUCCUUGGUGGUCUUUGGUGUUAAGGAAUGCUUUCUGGCACAGGAACUCCAAGGCCACCAGGACCCAACACAGUAGGUCUCAAUGCCAGUAAUGUCUGUGUCUAUGAGCCACAAUAAAUCUUUUCUAAAUAAUUCUGUAAUUCUGUUCUAAAGAAGCCUAAAACUUUGUAUUUCAUGGAAGAAAUGACAAAAGAGGAUGUGGAAUCUCGCUGCAGCAGAUGUGCUGGUUCCUCAUAGCCAUGGGGCCUUGAGAGAUGUUCCAAGGACCCCAGGGAACAGAGUGCUCCUGGUGUUAAUUUCUGGAAAAGACUGAGUAGAUGUGGAACGCCUAUAUUUGGGGUCCUAUUUACUUUUGCUCUCUGUCACUUUUGUCUACUCUGUUUUCUGUUUCUUGUUAAGGGGGGACUUUGAUUUUGAGGGACUGACAAUGUUGAGAUUAGAAGACCCACCCUCUUGACUUAACCCCUCCCCUUUUUUUUUCUCCCUGGACCUCCCUUAUUCUUUAUGGGCCUGAGUUCCCAGGCUGAGGAACAACAAUAUGAACUAACCAGUACCCCCAGAGCUCCCUGGGACUAAAUCACCAGUCAAAGAAAACACAUGGUGGGGCUAAUGGCUCUAACUGCAUAUGUAGCAUAGGAUAGCCUAGUCGGUCCUCAAUGGGAGGAGAGGCCCUUGGCUCUGUGAAGGUUCUGUGCCCCAGUAUAGGGGAAUGCCAAGGUCAGGAAAUGGGAGUGUGUGGUUUGAUGAGCAGGGGAAGAAGGGAUAGGGGAUUUUCAGAGGGGAAACUAGGAAAGGGGAUAACAUUUGAAAUGUAAAUCAAGAAAAUAUCUAAUUUUUAAAAAAGAGGUUUUUUUGUUUGUUUGUUUUGGUUUUGGUUUUUCGAGACAGGGUUUUUCUGUAUAGCCCUGGCUGUCCUGGAACUCACUCUGUAGACCAGGCUGGCCUCGAACUCAGAAAUCUGCCUGCCUCUGCCUCCCGAGUGCUGGGAUUAAAGGUGUGCGCCACCACGCCCGGUGAAAAAAAAGAUUUUUAAAGAUAAUUUUUAUUUGUGUAGGGUGAUUUCCUUAUCAAAACGCAUAUUAAUGCUAGAGCAGCUGUAUUUCCAGCCUAGAAAGAUGUUUUUAGAAAAGCUCUCCCACACAUACUCCAGUGUCCUUGAUCCCAGAUAUUGCUCCUGGGGGAAUAGCAUAUUGUUUUCUUUGUUUUUUUUUGUUUUUUGUUUUUUUUU